AAACGUGCCAGACAUCAUAAUGAGGUGAUCAUUUUUUUAGAUAGGCAUCAUAAUCAGAUAGUUUGAUGUGCCAUCACUCAUAAUACCAUGCUAAUGCAGCACAUCUUUUUCGUGUAUGCUUUACGUCAAGUAUGAAAAAUUCCACGAGUAGGCCAGUCUGAUAAUAAGCUUCUGCUGCGCAUCUCCGACCUGUCCUGUGUGCCUUCCGUUCCAAGUUGAGCUAUAGAUAAGAAGUUUGGACUGUGGAUGUGCACAUAAGCACCCACCAACUCCACAAAAGCAAAAGCUCACCCACUUACCCCUGCAUUGGCUCUCAGCAUGAGUUGCAUCAGUUGCUAGUAGCUCUGAUGGGUUAUAAAGUUGCCUCCCAUUUGGAUGAGAGAUUGAGAGCACUCAGCACCAGUGGCAAUGUGGUUUCCACUGCCAGUGAUCGAUGCAUCUAGACUUCUCAUGAAGAACAGAGCAGUAUCAGUAGAGCACCAAUCAGUUAUUAGUAGUAGUACUCAGAAAGCAAUUCAUCUGAAUUUGGUUUGGUUCAAGAAGGAAUAACAUAACAAUCUCUUUAAGAAGAUAAGGAAAAGAGUAGGUUUUUGAAAAACUACGGAGACUUUUAUUUUUUGACGCAAAACUACGGAGACUUUGACCAAAAGUAUCACAAAACUAAGUAGAAACCCAAGCAAUAUUCUGAAAGAUAGAUAAAACAAGACACUGAAAUGCAGUCCUUUCCCAUACUUACGUAUGAAAACAGAGGCAUCUUGAGAAGAGCUCAGCUGGAUAUGGACAAAUGGUGAUAUGGAACCUCCUCAUUAACCCAAGCAAUAUUCUGAAAGAUGGAUAAAACAAG
rnacentral:lncRNA from 1 species